rnacentral:rRNA from 1 species
ACUCCUACGGGAGGCAGCAGUGGGGAAUAUUGGACAAUGGGCGAAAGACCUGAUCCAGCAAUGCCGCGUGAGUGAUGAAGGCCUUAGGGUUGUAAAGCUCUUUUACCCGGGUAUGAUAAUGACAGUACCGGGAGAAUAAGCUCCGGCUAACUCCGUGCCAGCAGCCGCGGUAAUACGGAGGGAGCUAGCGUUAUUCGGAAUUACUGGGCGUAAAGCGCACGUAGGCGGCUUUGUAAGUUAGAGGUGAAAGCCUGGAGCUCAACUCCAGAAUUGCCUUUAAGACUGCAUCGCUUGAAUCCAGGAGAGGUGAGUGGAAUUCCGAGUGUAGAGGUGAAAUUCGUAGAUAUUCGGAAGAACACCAGUGGCGAAGGCGGCUCACUGGACUGGUAUUGACGCUGAGGUGCGAAAGCGUGGGGAGCAAACAGGAUUAGAUACCCCUGGUAGGAUAGCG